GCUUUGCAAAAUAUUGUUGGUUUGCAAGUGAAGUUGGAUGGUGGGAUGGUGUUGAUUCUAUAGGACUUUGGUUAGAGCAACUUCUGCUUAGAACUGAUGAUAGUGAGAAUUGUAUUGAUUGAUGAUAGCCUGGAGCUUAUGGAAUGCUAGGAACAACCUAGUUUCGAAUAAAAAAGGACAAUCGAGUCUCUGUUGCUUGAGAAUGCUAAGAAUGGUAUCGUCUGAAUGGAGGGAUGCUCGAAACAAAACCAUAAAGGUCUGUACUAGCGCUUCUCCACCUAUGUAUACACUGAAAUGGUACCAUCCAGCACCUGGUUCUUUUAAGUGUAAUUAGAUACUAUUGUGGAUUUGUUACAAUCUCGGGCUACUCUGGGUUGUCUGGUGCGAGAUUAUCAUGGGUACUGUAUUAUGGGAGGUGCUUUAUCUGUUCAAGGAAUUGUUGAUCCACUAACAGCAGAAGCUUUGAGCUUCCGAGAGGCUUUGAGCUGGGUGAAGAUAGCUGGUCUUACAAAUAUGGCGUUUGAAACUGACUCGUCAUGUCUUGUUCAAGCAAUGACUGGAUAUGAGCAUAAUUUACUUAUUUUGGUUCUCUUAUUUCUGAAUGUAAAGCUCUGAUGAGGGAGCUCAAUCAAGCUAGUUUUAGCUUUGUGAAAAAGUCAACAAAUCAGUUAGCUCAUUGUGUUGCUAAAGCUACUCUUUCUAUGUCUGGCGAGGUUCGGUGAGAUAUCUGCCUCCCAUCAUUCCUAGUUGAUGUACUACAAUUUGAUAUUAUAAAUAUUUGAAUUUGCUUUUGGUGUUAAU
rnacentral:misc_RNA from 1 species